rnacentral:lncRNA from 1 species
AAGGGGUCGGGCGCAUCCGACCUCGGGACCAAGGGUCGGGCGUAUACUCAGAAUUGGACUGCGGGUUGAUAUCAUGAAAUGUCAGGGGUUUUUUGAAAAAUAGCCUCGGACUACUCCAACGUUUCGCUCAGGGGUCGGACACUCCCGACCCCAGGACUCAGGGUCGGGCGAGGCGGAGCUUCACUCGGGGUCAGACGAGGCGGAGUUCCACCCUCAAGGGGUCGGGCGCAUCGGCGAGGCGGAGUUCCACCCUCAAGGGGUCAGGCGCAUCCGACCCCGGGACCAAGGGUCGGGCGAGGCGGAGUUCCACCCUCAAGGGGUCGGGCGCAUCCGUCAAGAGAGAAGAUUUUGUGGGCAUGUUAAAAGAAAGGAAAGAUUAAAAAAUCAACUCCCUAUAUGCAUGCGCGAGAUUUUGUGGACAGUUUAAAAGAAAGGAAAGGUUAAAAAAUCAGCUAGCUCCUUGCAUGCAUGCGCCAGAUUUGUCAAUAUCCUUUUUUACAAAUUUUGUGGGCAUGUUAAAAGAAAGGAAAGAUUAAAAAAUCAGCUAGCUCCUUGCACAUGCGCGAGAUUUUGUGGACAUGUUAAAAGAAAGGAAAGAUUAAAAAAUCAACUCCUUGCAUGCAUGCGCGAGAUUUUGUGGGCAUGUUAAAAGAAAGGAAAGAUUAAAAAAAUCAGCUAGCUACUUGCAUGCAUGUGCCAGAUUUGCUAGGCAUGGUUGGAAAAAGAAUUCUACUCCAUCCUGGUUCCUUCCCUUCCUUUUUCUAUCAGCCGCCAUAACAAACUCGUUGCUGCCAUCGCACAUGCACACGCCCGAAGCAAACCCAUCGCUUGCCCCGUGCCGCCGUUGCCCGCCCUGCGCCUUCGCUGACCUCCUCGCUGGGUAAUUGUUGACCAUCGGUACGGACGCAUGCAAUUCUCUUGAAGAAGUAACUAUGGAACAGUACACCGAAGUGAUAAGCUCCUAUAUCAUUAUUCCUUCAUCUCUCCUAACGAAUAAGACUCACUGCAGUACAAAUGUUCAACUUGCAGUUAUCCAGCUAUGGGUUCCUCCUACAUGUCGCUCUCGAGGAAGAGGGUAACCUUGCCUGCACCGCUGAUAUCCUUGCCCACACCGACAAUGAACAGGUAUAAUACUCGUAAUUUUCUGAAGCGGUAUAGAUUUCAUUUGAAUGAUGACAUCAGUUUUUAUCUCGUACGCUAUGAUGCACCCUUGCAGUAUAUAUCUAUAAAAUCUCGGAAUUAUAGGUGGGUUGAGUUUCAUGAGGUGGAGCUGGAACACAUCUUCUGGAGAUGGGAUGUGAGCGCCAUGGUUUUCUAGAAAGGAAACAUACAAGAGUAUGGAGGACAGGAGUAUUUGCACGUAAUAUUGGUUGAUGAGCAGGUGCUUCAAUCAUCCGCCUACUUCUUUUUUUUAUAUGCAUGUGUAAUUAGGCGGAUGCAUUGUGGUUUCACUGCAAACUACUGAUGUAUGUUGGCUACAAUGUUUGUGCAGGGCACCAAGAUGGAGGCAGUUGCAUGCGGCGACCAUCAUAUGAUGUUCAACAGUGUGCUCAUUGAAGGUGAAACAUAUGACUUUUUGGGAGUGUAUUUUACGCCAACUUAUGUGGAUCCCAUUCCCAAUAUGUACCGUCUGUGUGAAUACUACGCUGUCGUCCUUUUACCGGAUACUGUAGUCAAGACUCCACAGAGGCCCAUCUGGAUUUCAGAGUGUCCUCGUGCCUUUAGGAAAUUCGAGGAUGUAUACCGUCAGCCAGUAGAUACUUUUGCAGGUGACUCAUCAAUUUAUACACACUUUCAUUUAACAAAAUAUGAUGUCCUUGGUUUCACACUAAAAUGCAAAGCAUAUAUUUUUUUUGUUGUUGAAGAUGUCAUAGGCGUGGUUGUAUAUGCGUCUGAGAUCCAAGAUAGGGGUGACUUCCGGAGGCAGCCUAACAGGCACGUGGUAAUCAUGAAUCAAAGGUAUGUCUAUUUAUGUACAUAUGAAAUUAUCUGCCAUGCCAUGGGUGGAUCGGAAUUAAUGUUGUUACUUGUAGGAAAAACUUCAUCAUAAUCCAUGUGAACGACCCACACCUUCAACGCCACAUAUGGGAGUGGCGCCGCGCGGCUUAUCAAUUCAAGACAUUAGCUGCCCUCCAUGUCAAGAUAUCUACGAUGCAAGGUAUGACAUUAUCAAUGAGCACUCAGUUUUGUUAAUAAAAUUAACAAUAUAUUUAACCAUUAAUUCUUUAAAUUCAUGUAUCCCCUUGUCUGUUUAAGUUUUUAAUUCACUUUUCCCUUGCCUGUUAGGGGGAGUGACUACUACAGAUUAUAGUCAAAUUAUUUUUUCUCCCAUAUGUUCUUAUGCAUAUGAUGCGAAAGGUAACAUCUUUUUGUGCUCAAUAACUUCGUUUCACUGAAGUUAUAUAGUUUUGAUCUUUGAUUUUUGUGCUGCAGACCUAUCCAAGCGGAUACGCGCUGAACGGAAACAAAUUACAAAGACGGCACGUGCCCUUACAUUAGAUAUCAUCAACAAGUAGUAAUGCUAGGAUGCUCAGCAACUCUGUGUUGUGUUUCAAAGUUUGGAUGUUCGCGACAUACUGAAUCAUAUUUUUCGAGGAUUUUCCUUAUAUGAACUUUUUAGACAGUGACCAUAUAACAUGUUUGGUGAUUCAAUGGCAGCUAAGUACUAAGCUUGAUGUGUUUAUUGUUACCAUAUAACAAUUUCAUGAAUGCGUUAAGUACUCAGCUUGAUGUGUUUCAACCCUCCAUUGUGUAUAUAACAUGUUUGGUGAUUCAAUGGCAGUAACAUCUUUGGGGAAGAUGCAUUUCACUUCUGUUUGGUCCAAGAUCUCUCUAAAAGAUGCUUGCUCUGGACUGCAGAAGAAAUGUUGCGAGUGAUGAUUUAUUGAUAUGUACUCCAAUGCUUGUAGAUCCAAUGCCCUAAACAUGUACUCCAAAUCGGACCAGCUGUUUUAAUCAAGAUGCACGUACAUCCUGAGACAGCAUAACCCAAAUAAGGCACUAUGAUUCCUAACCCGGCAAAUCUAAAUCUACAUGUACUAAUAUUUUCCCCCCGAAACCUAGCCUGAAUGGUAAGAUUGGUUCCAGCAGAAUCGCAUCCCAAAUCACUCGGGGUCGGGCGAGGCGGAGUUCCACCCUCAAGGGGUCGGGCGCAUCCGAUCCCAGGACCAAGGGGUCGGGCGCAUCCGACCACGGGACCAAGGGUCGGGCGUAUACUCAGAAUUGGACUGUGGGUUGAUAUCACGAAAUGUCAGGGUUUUUUUUUUUGAAAAAUAGCCUCGGACUACUCCAACGUUCCGCUCAGGGGUCGGACACUCCCGACCCCAGGACUCAGGGUCGGGCGAGGUGGAGCUUCACUCGGGGUCGGGCGAGGCAGAGUUCCACCCUAUAUGCAUGCGCAAGAUUUUGUGGACAGUUUAAAAGAAAGGAAAGAUUAAAAAAUCAGCUAGCUCCUUGCAUGCAUGCGCCAGAUUUGUCAAUAUCCUUUUUUACAAAUUUUGUGGGCAUGUUAAAAGAAAGGAAAGAUUAAAAAAUCAGCUAGCUCCUUCCACAUGCGCGAGAUUUUGUGGACAUGUUAAAAGAAAGGAAAGAUUAAAAAAUCAACUCCUUGCAUGCAUGCGCGAGAUUUUGUGGGCAUGUUAAAAGAAAGGAAAGAUUAAAAAAAUCCGCUAGCUACUUGCAUGCAUGCGCCAGAUUUGCUAGGCCUGGUUGGAAAAAGAAUUGUACUCCAUCCUGGUUCCUUCCCUUCCUUUUUCUAUCAGCCGCCAUAACAAACUCGUUGCCGCCAUUGCACACGCACACGCCCGAAGCAAAUCCGUCGCUUGCCCCGUGCCGCCGUUGCCCGACCUGCGCCUUCGCUGACCUCCUUGCUGGGUAAUUGUUGACCAUCGGUACGGACGCAUGCAAUUCUCUUGAAGCUUUCUCAUCACCUACUCCCUGACCUUGUUACUAGACCGACGCCGAUCUGUUAUGAAGCUGAACGCUCGGUCGCGAACUGCACCAGAAGGUUGGAGGGUGUCGUCCGAGCGGCGGCGUUGCAGCUCAAGUGUGAGUUCUCGUUACCCUCUGUUAAUCAUGUUCACGUAGAUUAGAUCAUGAUUAUGCCUAACUAGACAUGAUUAUACCAAGAAGUUGUCGGAUAUGGCAUGUGUUAUAUUAAUUAAUCUGUUAAUCAUGUUCGUUAUAAUUAGAUCAUAUGUAUUCACAGAAAGAACUUGCCCUCCGCACUACUCAACUGUCAGCUCAGCAAAACAAGGCUGCAGCACUUGUGUUCCUGGGAAAAAAAUUAGCAGACGCCAUCAUUAUGUAUUCAAUGAAAUAAUUGUGCCAGGACCUGUAACAGGAGAUGACACAUGAGACUCAAAGUUGAAUAAAAUCUCACCUUUCAGAAGACGACUAGAAGGGGCUGCCAAUAAUUAAGCGAGCGACGGCGUUGCAGCUCACUGAAUCUUGGCAUCCAUCCAUGUCAGACGGUUCCGAGGUAAGCUACACACAAGCUUAACGCUCACUGAAUCAUAUUGCAGAACCGGUACUAAUUUAAUGAGUUUAUAUGUUACCUCCUUUUUCCAUCAAUAGUCAUCCUUGGAGUAGCUAUCCACGGAGCUGACGCCCACUGGUGACGAUGGUGUCUAUAGUAUGGAUAUAUUGCUGGAACUAGAGGAAACUACUCCCAAGACAGAUUACUUGGAUGCCAAUAAAUACCAAGAGGGUUUGACCCCUGACAAACUCAAAGAUGUUGAUAUGUCACAGCAGGUGUUGAUCACUGACGAAACCAACGAGUCAGAAGAUGCUUUCAAGAUUCCGGAAGGUAGUUUAUGUUUCAUUCAUAUAUCAGGUUGCUCAUUUGAUAUAUUUUCACAACAUUUAUCAUGUGCAAUGAUAAUUAUCCUCAAAUUUUAUGAUUAUUUUCAAGGUACGAAUGUACUGUCAAUGAUCAUGCCUUCAUUGAAGCUGCUAAAAAGAUCUCAGCUGAACCAGGUAGGGAAGAGCUUGUGACAUCGUCCUGGUGAAUAGGAAUCACAUGGAGUGCUUAUUUUGUCGAAACGCAUACCUGUAUGACGAGGUAAUAACCCCGAGUACAAAUUUAUGGGAACAAAAAUCUUUUUUUAUAUUGAGAAAUUAUUCAUGGUUGAUUUUUUGCAGGUCAUAAAUGCGUACAUCCACCUAUUGCGGACUCAAGAUAAUAUGAUAAAUAGGCCAGGUGGUACAUGCUACCUAGAAAAUACAAGUAUGACCGUGUUAAUGAAGGGGGAUGGUGAAGAAAAUGGAACAUGGAGGACAUGGAGGAUCACUAUCCCUCCCGUGGGCAUUCACAGGUUCCACGGUUGGCUGAAAGGGUAUUAUCGUACAUGCAACACGAUAUGGUAACUACUAUUUUCAACAUUACGAUAUAUACUUCAUUUAUCCAAUAUACGUUCUUUGACUGACAUUACAUUUUUUAAUACUUGAUAGUUGUUCUUACCAAUAAAAAUAAAAGAUACACACUGGUAUCUUGCUGUAGUGAAUGCGCGAAGGCGUAAGAUACAUGUGUUAGAUUCUUAUGGAACACUAUUUGGGCGCAGGGACCUCGAAAAUACUGUGAGUUUUUGCCAUCUCAGCUAUUUCUAUUUUUUUUUGCAAACUGCACAUACUAAUUAACCAGGACAUGUACAAACAGUUGAAGGGAUUGCCGAUGCAGAUGGAAUACACAUUGCAAUGCACUGGCCUUAAAGAUCACGCUUGGCCGGACGUCAAUGUUGACAUCUGGGAUGUUGUGGAGGUCAUGGUUGACAGAAUACAGUUUGAUGGGUAUGUAUGAUAUUGCACACUAAUUUAAAAUACCAAUUCUACAAUCUCAUAUGUAUAUAUCUUACAUUUUUCUAUAUAAUAAUGAUUCUGUAGUGUCUCAUGUGGGUUAUUCAUGGUUGCCUUUAUAAAGUAUUGGACUGGGGAUCAUCUGUGCGCUACCGUGGAUCAGGUACAUCAUGUAUAACUUUAACACAAGUAAUUAGUGAAUAUUUUUUACUAGCAUAUUUUUUGAAUAAACUGUGUUACUACUAAUGUACAGGAGAGUAUGGUAAAAUUUAGGACUAAAAUGGCAGCUACAUUACUAUCAACUAUAUUUAAUGAACGGUUAGGUAAACCAUUACUACGCAAUGAGGAUGAAAACAUCGGAAGCCCGAGUGACUUUGCAGAAAUAAUAGAACCUAACGAGUUUCAGCAGAUCAAACAAAAGAGGAAAUCCACGAACAGCCAUGAAAAUGCACUUAAACCAAAGAAAAUCGAUACAGAGAUAGACUCAGAUAAGCAAGAUGUUCUUCUAUACUACAAGGACUGGCCCUUGAAGAGAGAUGAGUUAGCUGAGAUUUUUUGUGAUUAUAUUUUGACAAUCAAGGAUCCUGCGGAAUUGGAGUAAGCUCAGUACUUCAUCACUUUCAUUUACCACUAAUAGUAUUGCAAUUUAUUAUGAAUUCUUAUGCAUUGUCCUUAUAUAUUGAUUUGCAGUAUGGUUUGGGUAAGGAGUGAUUUGCCCUAUAGGAGUGUGUAUAAACUCGGUGAUCUCAAGGUGUUGUUGAAACGAGGUUCACCCAUGCCUGAACCAUUUUUCAACUUAGGUGUCCGAUUUCUUGCAUACCGAGAGGCUAAAGGGAUGAUAAGGUACAACAACAAGGUUGCAAACCAUCAUGUGGAUCUGCGAUUCUGUGUAAGUUAGCUUGUUUAUAAUUACAAUCAUAACUGUGGAAUAUACUGCAUUCAUUGUCUAUUUAUAUUUAUUAGUUAUACAUAAAAUUGAUAGGUGAUACUGAUCAUGGCUAUAUAUCAUUUUGCUUCAGAAAAUGUUGGAGUUAACACGUCAUGAAAAAUAUCGUAAACAUCAUAGUGGUAAAGAGUUGGGUGAUGUGAUUGGUGGAUGGGAAAUAGUAAAAUAUGACAUACUAGGUUGCAGAUAUGUAAGUUCUUUUCAUGCCAUUAUUUGUUCAUUACAUAUCCUUUGUGGUCCUAAUACUGAGUGCUUUGCAGUUUCUCUUGCCAUGGAAGCAUGUCAAUACCUACCUGCUUUAUGUACUCGAUAUUAAGCGGAAGAAACUUAUUGUGAUUGACACUAAACCCAUUCCAAAAUAUGCCACGGAUGUGCCAUAUAAACAUUAUGCGAUACAGAUCGUAGGAUUUCGCCUAAAAUUUAUGAACGCAUUUAGACAGCUUAAACCUGAUUCAUGGGAGGAUGUUCACAAAUGGGAAUUUGAACGCGCGAAAGGAAUUGUGGAAGAUACUGAUGGGUAAGAUCAGCUCUAACACACCGGCAUUUUAGAGUGUCAAUAUCCUUUAUUUCUUAAAAGAUAUGUUCGUAUAUUUAUAUAGCUGACGAUUCAUCGUACCACAGAUUUUCAGAUGGAUGGCUUAUUCUACAGUACAUGGCAUGGUGGGAUAGUCCUCGAAACGUGCACAUCGAAAAAGUGAGUAAAUAUGCUUUGUUGUACGUUCCUUUGUAAUUUUACAAUAUACGAUAAAUCCGAGCUUAACUUGAAGUAAGCACUUAUCUUACUUACAGGAUGCUAUAACGAUGCGGCACAACUUCUUCAUCGAUCUUCUAGCGCACGAAGCGAAUGCCUGGAGGAUAAGACUACCAGGCAUUGUAAAACAUUUCCUUUGGCGCAUCACAGGCAAAGAAAUAAGAUAGAUGGGGGACAUUUGGAUGACCUGUAUUCGUAUAUGUUCUACAUCAUUAUUGUCCUGCUGAAUCCAAUCUUGGAUGAUAUACUUAUUU